ACCAGGGUAUCUAAUCCUGUUUGCUCCCCACGCUUUCGCGCCUCAGCGUCAGUAUCGGGCCAGUGAGUCGCCUUCGCCACUGGUGUUCCGCCGAAUAUCUACGAAUUUCACCUCUACACUCGGCAUUCCACUCACCUCUCCCGAACUCAAGACAGCCAGUAUCAAAGGCAAUUCCAAGGUUGAGCCCUGGGCUUUCACCUCUGACUAAACUGUCCGCCUACGCGCCCUUUACGCCCAGUAAUUCCGAGCAACGCUAGCCCCCUUCGUAUUACCGCGGCUGCUGGCACGAAGUUAGCCGGGGCUUCUUCUCCGGGUACCGUCAUUAUCUUCCCCGGUGAAAGAAUUUUACAAUCCUAAGACCUUCAUCAUUCACGCGACAUGGCUGCGUCAGGCUUUCGCCCAUUGCGCAAGAUUCCCCACUGCUGCCUCCCGUAGGAGUCUGGGCCGUGUCUCAGUCCCAGUGUGGCUGAUCAUCCUCUCAGACCAGCUAUGGAUCGUAGGCUUGGUGGGCCUUUACCCCACCAACUACCUAAUCCAACGCGGGCCGCUCCAAUGGCGAUAAAUCUUUCCCCCGAAGGGCACAUCCGGUAUUAGCACAGGUUUCCCUGUGUUGUUCCGAACCAAAGGGCACGUUCCCACGCGUUACUCACCCGUCCGCCACUGCUCCGAAGAGCCGUUCGACUUGCAUGUGUUAGGCCUGCCGCCAGCGUUCGCUCUGAGCCAGGAUCAAACUC
rnacentral:rRNA from 1 species